UACGAAGGGUGCUAGCGUUGUUCGGAAUCACUGGGCGUAAAGCGCGCGUAGGCGGCGACUCAAGUCAGGGGUGAAAUCCCGGGGCUCAACCCCGGAAUUGCCUUUGAAACUGUGUUGCUAGAGUGUCGGAGGGGAUAGCGGAAUUGCUAAUGUAGAGGUGAAAUUCGUAGAUAUUAGCAGGAACACCGGUGGCGAAGGCGGCUAUCUGGACGACAACUGACGCUGAGGCGCGAAAGCGUGGGGAUCAAACAGG
rnacentral:rRNA from 1 species